GUUGUAAAGUACUUUCAGCGGGGAGGAAGGCGAUAAGGUUAAUAACCUUGUCGAUUGACGUUACCCGCAGAAGAAGCACCGGCUAACUCCGUGCCAGCAGCCGCGGUAAUACGGAGGGUGCAAGCGUUAAUCGGAAUUACUGGGCGUAAAGCGCACGCAGGCGGUCUGUCAAGUCGGAUGUGAAAUCCCCGGGCUCAACCUGGGAACUGCAUUCGAAACUGGCAGGCUAGAGUCUUGUAGAGGGGGGUAGAAUUCCAGGUGUAGCGGUGAAAUGCGUAGAGAUCUGGAGGAAUACCGGUGGCGAAGGCGGCCCCCUGGACAAAGACUGACGCUCAGG
rnacentral:rRNA from 1 species